UGUUAAUUCUUCUUUCCUUCCCCUAAAAGGAAUCUGCAGAAAUUUCCACAGAGGAAAUUAAGCACACUGUGGACCAAAAGCACUACGUAAAACAACUGAACAGAAUCAACCCAUUUUAUCAGAAGUGGAACUUCCUCCCAUAUGUUUAGGUUCCUUAUCAACAACAGAUGGUUAUGAACACAGAGGAUCAGUUUAAGGCAAGUGUCUACCCCUUUGUUCCUGCUGUGGAAUCAACUGAAGUAUU